UUAUGUCCCCCACUAUAGUAGUGGGGGACAUAUUGUUUUUGCCCUGUCUGUUGGUCUGUCUGUCUGUUUGCGCCAACUUUAACAUUUUGCAAUAACUUUUGCUAUAUUGAAGAUAGCAACUUCAUAUUUGGCAUGCAUGUGUAUCUCAUGAAGCUGCACAUUUUGAGUGGUGAAAGGUCAAGGUCAUCCUUCAAGGUCAGAGGUCAAAUAUAUGUGGCCAAAAUCGCUUAUUUUAUGAAUACUUUUGCAAUAUUGAAGAUAGCAACUUGAUUUUUGGCAUGCAUGUGUAUCUCAUGGAGCUGCACAUUUUGAGUGGUGAAAGGUCAAGGUCAUCCUUCACAAGGUCAAGGUCAUCCUACAAUGUCAAACAUCAUAUAGGGGGACAUUGUGUUUCACAAACACAUCUUGUUUUACUUACUCUCUCAUUAUUACAUUUGUACAUGUUUGCACUAUAUUCAUUGCAUUUUUCAUAAUU